UACAGAGGUCUCAAGCGUUGUUCGGAUUCAUUGGGCGUAAAGGGUGCGUAGGCGGCGCGGUAAGUCGGGUGUGAAAUCUCGGAGCUUAACUCCGAAACUGCAUUCGAUACUGCCGUGCUUGAGCACUGUAGAGGCAGGCGGAAUUCCGGGUGUAGCGGUGGAAUGCGUAGAGAUCCGGAAGAACACCGGUGGCGAAGGCGGCCUGCUGGGCAGUAGCUGACACUGAGGCGCGACAGCGUGGGGGAGCAAACAGG
rnacentral:rRNA from 1 species